rnacentral:rRNA from 1 species
CAGCUGUAAACGAUGCAGGCUAGGUGUUUGGACGGCCACGUGCCGUUCUAGUGCCGCAGGGAAGCUGUUAAGCCUGCCGCCUGGGGAGUACGAUCGCAAGAUUGAAACUUAAAGGAAUUGGCGGGGGAGCACCACAAGGGGUGAAGCUUGCGGUUUAAUUGGAGUCAACGCCGGAAAACUCACCAGGGAAGACUGUUACAUGAAGGCCGAGAUGAAGACUCUGCUAGAUUUUCAGAGAGGAGGUGCAUGGCGUCAGUGACU